rnacentral:rRNA from 1 species
UACGUAGGGUCCGAGCGUUGUCCGGAAUUAUUGGGCGUAAAGGGCUCGUAGGCGGUCUGUUGCGUCGGGAGUGAAAACUUACAGCUUAACUGUGAGCGUGCUUUCGAUACGGGCAGACUUGAGGCAUUCAGGGGAGAACGGAAUUCCUGGUGUAGCGGUGAAAUGCGCAGAUAUCAGGAGGAACACCGGUGGCGAAGGCGGAUCUCUGGGCCUGUCCUGACGCUGAGGCGCGAAAGCUAGGGGAGCGAACAGG